UGCAUAUCAAUAAGCGGAGGAAAAGAAACUAACAAGGAUUCCCCUAGUAACUGCGAGUGAAGCGGGAAAAGCUCAAAUUUAAAAUCUGGUGGCCUCUGGUCAUCCUAGUUGUAAUUUAGAGAAGCGUCUUCCGCGCUGGACCAUGCACAAGUCUCCUGGAAUGGAGCGUCAUAGAGGGUGAGAAUCCCGUCUUUGGCAUGGAUUUACCAGGGCUUCUGUGAUGCGCUCUCGAAGAGUCGAGUUGUUUGGGAAUGCAGCUCAAAAUGGGUGGUGAACUCCAUCUAAAGCUAAAUACUGGCGAGAGACCGAUAGCGAACAAGUACCGUGAGGGAAAGAUGAAAAGCACUUUGGAAAGAGAGUGAAACAGUACGUGAAAUUGUUGAAAGGGAAACGCUUGAAGUCAGUCGCGUCGACCGAGACUCAGCCUCGCCUUGGCUUGGUGUACUUCUCGGCCGACGGGUCAGCGUCAAUUUUACCCCUCGGAUAAUGAUGAGGGAAAGGUAGCACCUUUAUAGGUGUGUUAUAGUCUCUUGUCGCAUGCGAGGAUCGGGAUUGAGGAACUCAGCACGCGCCUUUUGGUGUCGGGGCUUUGGCCCACGCUACGUGCUUAGGAUGCUGGCAUAAUGGCUUUAAACGACCCGUCUUGAAACACGGACCAAGGAGUCUAACAUGCCCGCGAGUGUUCGGGUGGAAAACCCGUGCGCGUAAUGAAAGUAAAAGUUGGGACCUCUGUCGUGGAGGGCACCGACGCCCGGACCAGACCUUCUGUGACGGAUCUGCGGUAGAGCGUGCAUGUUGGGACCCGAAAGAUGGUGAACUAUGCUUGAAUAGGGUGAAGCCAGAGGAAACUCUGGUGGAGGCUCGUAGCGAUUCUGACGUGCAAAUCGAUCGUCAAAUUUGGGUAUAGGGGCGAAAGACUAAUCGAACCAUCU
rnacentral:rRNA from 1 species